AUUGAACGCUGGCGGCAUGCCUUACACAUGCAAGUCGAACGGCAGCACGGGAGCAAUCCUGGUGGCGAGUGGCGAACGGGUGAGUAAUAUAUCGGAACGUGCACAGGCGUGGGGGAUAACGUAGCGAAAGCUACGCUAAUACCGCAUACGAUCUACGGAUGAAAGCGGGGGAUCGCAAGACCUCGCGCGAUUGAAGCGGCCGAUAGCAGAUUAGGUAGUUGGUGGGGUAAAGGCUCACCAAGCCGACGAUCUGUAGCUGGUCUGAGAGGACGACCAGCCACACUGGGACUGAGACACGGCCCAGACUCCUACGGGAGGCAGCAGUGGGGAAUUUUGGACAAUGGGCGCAAGCCUGAUCCAGCAAUGCCGCGUGCAGGAUGAAGGCCUUCGGGUUGUAAACUGCUUUUGUACGGAACGAAACGGCGAGCUCUAAUACAGUUUGCUAAUGACGGUACCGUAAGAAUAAGCACCGGCUAACUACGUGCCAGCCGCCGCCGUAA
rnacentral:rRNA from 1 species